GCCACCUCCAGCCACCAUGCCUCCCUGCCAUGACGGACUGUAAUUCCCCUAGAACGUUCCCUCCACUUUGGAUGAGGCUGGCCCAGCUGCCAGUCCUUUCCCACCCGAUGGCCCGUAUCUCCUUCAGCUCUGAGUCAGACUAAACCUCCCCUUACGCUGCUUCUGUCAGGGAUUUGGUGUCAGCCCUGAGAAAAGUAACUAAUGUGCUAGGGUGCUCAGUGCGGAGAGAGGAGCUACAGGGAGCGCACUGGAUCCCAUGGCUGGACUGCAGUGGCAGAGACAGGCUCAUUCUUCACGAAUGUACAGGAGGGAAUCAGUGCUCCCAGGACAACCGACUGGAAUACGGGGAAGAUGAGAUGUCCAGGAGCUGGGAGUUGGGGCGUGCCAGGCAGCACCUGGGAAGCUGAGGCAGGAGAACUGCCACGAGGUCAAGGCCAGCCUGUCUCGACAUACCUCAAAAACAAAGAAAUUUGGGCCUGUCAGAAGUAAGGGCAGUUGCUGUGCAAGCCUGACCUGAGUCUGAUCUCUACAGCCCACAUGGGGGUAGAAGGAAAGAACUGACCGCACAAAGCUGUUUUCUGACCGCCACAUGCACGCGCACGCACGCACACACA